AUGGGUGUCUCAGAUGCAAUGCAAUGGUUGAGGGUGCUGGUGUGGAUGGCGCACAUAGGCGGGGAUGCCCUAGCGGUCUACGCUCUCGCCAUCCUCUUCAACCGCCAAAAGCAGCAAACUGCUGAUGUGGAGAGCGACGCUCUCGAGCUCAUAUGGGUGCCUUUCCUCCUCAUUCACCUCGGAGGCCAGAACAUAAGUGCCUACAGCCUCGAGGACAAUGAGCUUUGGAAGCGGCAUGUCAUAACUCUGGUGUCACAAGUCGCGGUCGCCUUGUACAUCUUCUGCAAGUGGUGGUCCGGCCAGAAGAAACUCCUUCAGGCGGCAGUCUUGCUCUUUGUCGUUGGCAUCCUCAAGUUCACUCAGAAGCCAUGGGCCCUCCGGAGGGCCAGCUUCAAUAGCAUGGCUUCCAGAAGUCUGUCCGUGCAAAGAGAAAAAGGAUACAUUCCUCCAUGUUGGACAUGGUGCACUGUGAAUUGCGGGGAUUUUGCUUCAGUGGGGCGGGAAGGAGAGGAAGGACACAAACGCAAUCUUUCACUUGAAGAAUAUGCAAAAGAUGCAAAGAAGCUUGUAAAAGAGACGGAGCUGGCGAGUGGAAAUGACCAAAGAACAGCAUAUCAAAAGUUUCGACGCCGUGCAAUGAACUACAUCUCUAUGAUGCUGGUGGAUCUAUCUACUCGGUACUCUGUUCGUCUUAACUAUCUGCAGUAUUUCCUCAAGCUGGAUGACAAGUAUGGACACAAAAUUUUACGGAUAUGGGCUAGGGAUACAUAUGGUGCCUUGUACACCAAAACAAGAUCACUCAACAGUUGUGUUGGCUUCUGCUCAUGGUUCUUGCUUCCGUUCCUGACAUUAGCUUCCCUGGUGCUCUUCGUCAAGAGUAACAAGGAUGGUUACAAUAAGAACGACGUGAUAGUAUCAUACAUCCUGUUUGCUUGCACAGUCAUGAUUCAAUUGUUGCCCUUUGUGCUCAGGCUCGGAAGCAAAACUGCUACUUGGCCAGACAUGGUUUCACAGCACAAUCUCAUGUGCUUCUGUGCUCGCAAGAAGCAGCCCACCACUUUGAUGAAACUUGCUGCCUUCAAGUGCUUCAGGGAGUACACUAACAAGCAUUGGUACAAUUGGCAGGUGCCUGCGGCCUUUGAGAUUGAAGGGUUGAUUCGCCGGUACAUAAAAGAUGGGUGGGAGUGCAUACAUGAUGCUGCCACAUACAGAAGAUUCAACAAUCUCAGGGGACAACAGGCUCUGUCGAAGCACCCUCAGCUGGGACAACAACUCGGUUGGAGCCUCAACCUACCGUUCGACGAGAUUGUCCUUGUGUGGCACAUAGCCACAGACCUCUGCUUCUACCACCCCAACACAUCCUCCCAAGGUCUAAGUGGAGACACCACCCUACGCAGCAGGCAGAUAUCCAACUACAUGAUCCACCUGCUUUUCAUGUGUCCUGAGAUGCUAAUGCCAGGGACGAGACAAGAUUGGUUCACAGUUGCUUGCAAUGAUAUCAAGCACAUUCUCACGGACCAGAAUGAUCCACGAAGCAUUGCACAGAGGAUUCUUCUCAUGGAACAUGGUGAACUUAAAGGAGAUGUCGUUCCCAAUGCGCACAAACUCGCAAAGAAGCUCAUGGAACACCCCAACGAGGAAGAGAGGUGGAAGGUGAUCCAAGGUGUGUGGGUGGAGAUGCUCUGUUAUUCUGCCAGUAGGUGCAGAGGCUACCUGCAUGCCAAGAGCCUGGGUGAUGGCGGGGAGUUCCUCACAAAUGUCUGGUUCUUAUGGUCGUUGAUGGGAAUGGAAAUCCUGGGCGACAAGAUCCACAUACCAAGUCAGCUUCUUGAAGAAGAGAUCUGCAUAACAAGUCAACCUCUUGAAAUAGAAAUCAUGGAUGCUCCCGUUUGA
rnacentral:rRNA from 1 species